rnacentral:rRNA from 1 species
CGCAUCUGUGCAUGCAGCAUAUCAAUAAGCGGAGGAAAAGAAACUAACAAGGAUUCCCUCAGUAACGGCGAGUGAAGCGGGAAGAGCUCAAAUUUGAAAUCUUGAAAGGUCACCUUUCACGAAUUGUAGUUUAAAGAAGUGUUUUCUGUUACGAUCGUAAUAUAAGUUCUUUGGAAUAGGACAUCACAGAGGGUGAGAAUCCCGUCUAUGAUUGCGAUUUGUAGCUUUGUGAUACACUUUCAAAGAGUCGGGUUGUUUGGGAAUGCAGCCCAAAACGGGAGGUAAAUUUCUUCUAAGGCUAAAUAUUGGCGAGAGACCGAUAGCGAACAAGUACCGUGAGGGAAAGAUGAAAGAACUUUGAAAAGAGAGUUAAAUAGUACGUGAAAUUGUCAAAAGGGAAGCGUUUAACACCAGUGUUGUUUUCUGAAAAUCAUCCUCUGUUAGCUUUAUGCAUGUUUGUUUAGACCUAAUCAGCUAUCUUGCAUGUUCUAUUGUUUGCAGUGGUGCACUUUUCAGUUUACAGGUCAACAUCAGUUUUUUUUACCGUAAAAAAGUUAAAGAAAGGUAGCUCAUGGCUCCGGUCGUGAGUGUUAUAGUCUUUUUCCUAUGCGGUAGGAGAGACUGAGGUCUGCAGUGUAGGCUAUUUGGCUAGAUACUCAGGUGCUAUGUGAUACCAUUUCAUAAACAACUUGUUGAUUAUGUUUUGUCUAUUGCAUACUCGCUUGUACUAUCAUACCUACGCUUAGGAUGUUGACGAUCAGCUGAGCGCG